rnacentral:rRNA from 1 species
GACGAACGCUGGCGGCGUGCUUAACACAUGCAAGUCGAACGGAAAGGCCCUGCUUUUGUGGGGUUCUCGAGUGGCGAACGGGUGAGUAACACGUGAGUAACCUUCCCUUGACUUUGGGAUAACUUCAGGAAACUGGGGCUAAUACCUGAUAGGAGCUCCUGCUGCUUGGUGGGGGUUGGAAAGUUUCGGCGGUUGGGGAUGGACUCGCGGCUUAUCAGCUUGUUGGUGGGGUAGUGGCUUACCAAGGCUUUGACGGGUAGCCGGCCUGAGAGGGUGACCGGCCACAUUGGGACUGAGAUACGGCCCAGACUCCUACGGGAGGCAGCAGUGGGGAAUAUUGCACAAUGGGCGGAAGCCUGAUGCAGCAACGCCGCGUGCGGGAUGACGGCCUUCGGGUUGUAAACCGCUUUCGCCUGUGACGAAGCGUGAGUGACGGUAAUGGGUAAAGAAGCACCGGCUAACUACGUG